rnacentral:rRNA from 1 species
GAUGAACGCUGGCGGCGUGCUUAACACAUGCAAGUCGAACGGAAAGGCUCCUGCUUGCAGGGGUACUCGAGUGGCGAACGGGUGAGUAACACGUGGGUGAUCUGCCCUGCACUUCGGGAUAAGCCUGGGAAACUGGGUCUAAUACCGGAUAGGACGAUGGUUUGGAUGCCAUUGUGGAAAGUUUUUCGGUGUGGGAUGAGCUCGCGGCCUAUCAGCUUGUUGGUGGGGUAAUGGCCUACCAAGGCGUCGACGGGUAGCCGGCCUGAGAGGGUGUACGGCCACAUUGGGACUAAGAUACGGCCCAGACUCCUACGGGAGGCAGCAGUGGGGAAUAUUGCACAAUGGGCGCAAGCCUGAUGCAGCGACGCCGCGUGGGGGAGGACGGCCUUCGGGUUGUAAACUCCUUUCGCUAGGGACGAAGCGUUUUGUGACGGUACCUGGAGAAGAAGCACCGGCUAACUACGUG